rnacentral:lncRNA from 1 species
GUCCAAGCAGCCACCUGGCCUGGGACCGGCCUGGCUUUGCCGUUUCCUUUGGCAGCUCCCAAGACCUGAGGAUAGGAGUCCUGGGCAGCUGGGACCUGCCAGGCCAUCCUGCAUCUCCCAUGGGGCUCACGACCCAGGGACCCCUGUUCCUCUCUGAGAGGACCACCUCUUCCUGAAGCUGGAACCCGAUACUUGUCGGUGCCAACAACUGAAACCAGAUGUGCGCAGAUGCAUGUGUUCACGUGGGGUGUGUGUGUCCGUUUGGAGACCAGAAGUCAACCUCAGGUCUCAGGAGGGAGAGCUGCUUAGUCUCAACCUGGUCCAUGGGCACAAGCCACCACGCCCGACAAGAAAUGAAGGAGCUGAAGGAAGCUAAGACGCCUCCAUUGCUGCUGCCUGCUGCCGCCUGCUGCUAUCUGCUGCUACACUGGUGACCCUGUCCAGCAUCCCUGGAGAGACUCUCGAUCCCAGUGUUCUAUACACAGGCAAUAAGUAAACACCUGUUGGGGCUAGUGCCAUCAAUAUUGCCCGUGCUCAAUUAAAUGUGUCAUUUGUUUGGGAACUGGGGGAGGGGGGCCUUCUGUGUGGCAGUUUCAACGUUAAUAAAUGAAUGAGUAAGUCAGCAAA